GACGAACGCUGGCGGCGUGCUUAACACAUGCAAGUCGAACGGUAAGGCCCUUCGGGGUACACGAGUGGCGAACGGGUGAGUAACACGUGGGUGAUCCGCCCUGCACUUCGGGAUAAGCCUGGGGAACUGGGUCUAAUACCGGAUAGGACCCUGGGAUGCAUGUCCUGGGGGGGAAAGCUUUUGCGGUGUGGGAUGGGCCCGCGGCCUAUCAGCUUGUUGGUGGGGUGAUGGCCUACCAAGGCGACGACGGGUAGCCGGCCUGAGAGGGUGACCGGCCACACUGGGACUGAGAUACGGCCCAGACUCCUACGGGAGGCAGCAGUGGGGAAUAUUGCACAAUGGGCGCAAGCCUGAUGCAGCGACGCCGCGUGAGGGAUGACGGCCUUCGGGUUGUAAACCUCUUUCAGCACCGACGAAGCGCAAGUGACGGUAGGUGCAGAAGAAGGACCGGCCAACUACGUGCCAGCAGCCGCGGUAA
rnacentral:rRNA from 1 species